GCCUACGGGAGGCAGCAGUAGGGAAUUUUCGUCAAUGGGCGCAAGCCUGAACGAGCAAUGCCGCGUGAACGAGGAAGGUCUUCGGAUCGUAAAGUUCUGUUGAAGGGGAAAAAGAGCGGAGAGAGGAAAUGCUUUCUGAUUGAUAUUACCCUUCGAGGAAGUCACGGCUAACUACGUGCCAGCAGCCGCGGUAAUACGUAGGUGGCGAGCGUUAUCCGGAACGAUUGGGCGUAAAGGGUGCGUAGGCGGCCUGCUAAGUCUGGAGUGAAAGGUACCGGCUCAACCGGUACAGGCUCUGGAAACUG
rnacentral:rRNA from 1 species